GGCGCGCUUAAUGCAUGCAAGUCGAGCGAUGAGGCCCUCUUCGGGGGGUACAUCAGCGGCAGACGGGUGAGUAACACGUAGGUGAUCUACCCCAGAGACGGGGAUAACGGGUGGAAACAUCCGCUAAUACCGGAUAGACUUGUUCGGUCAAAGGGACAAGGAAAGGCUCCGGCGCUCUGGGAGGAGCCUGCGGCCCAUCAGCUAGUUGGCGGGGUAACGGCCCACCAAGGCAAAGACGGGUAGGGGGUGUGAGAGCAUGGCCCCCCACAAUGGGACUGGAACACGGCCCAUACUCCUACGGGAGGCAGCAGCAGGGAAUAUUGCACAAUGGACGGAAGUCUGAUGCAGCGACGCCGCGUGGAUGAAGAAGGCCCUCGGGUUGUAAAAUCCUUUACAGGGGGAAGAGGAAGGACGGUACCCCUGGAACAAGUGUCGGCUAACUACGUGCCAGCAGCCGCGGUAAGACGUAGGACACAAGCGUUAUCCGGAUUUACUGGGCGUAAAGCGUCUGCAGGCGGACAGGUAAGUUGGGCGUGAAAGCUCCGGGCCCAACCCGGAGAGGUCGUUCAAUACUGCGUGUCUAGAGGGUGUCAGAGGGGAGUGGAAUUUCCGGAGUAGCGGUAAAAUGCGCAGAGAUCGGAAAGAACACCAAUGGCGAAGGCAGCUCCCUGGGGCAACCCUGACGCUAAGAGACGAAAGCUAGGGGAGCGAACAGGAUUAGAGACCCUGGUAGUCCUAGCCCUAAACGAUGGAUGCUGGCUGUGGGGCCAUAGCGCUCCGUGUCGAAGCGAACGCGUUAAGCAUCCCGCCUGGGGACUACGCCCGCAAGGUUAAAACUCAAACGAAUGGACGGGACCCCGCACAAGCACCGGAGCGUGUGGUUUAAUUCGAUGCUACACGAAGAACC
rnacentral:rRNA from 1 species